GUCGAACAAGACUCUGUCAGUGCAGCAGCUCCGUGAAGCUAGCGGCAAAUUUUAACGAUUUUUUUCACAAUUUAUUUUGCAACGAUACAGGUAAUCGAUGUCCACUGAUCCUGCGCUGCAGGAGAGCUGAACGGGGGGAGUGGCCGCGUUCUCAGUCUGAGUGCUGCGGGACCAGCUUGGACUCCUCAGGAGGAAGAGCUGCACGUGGAGGAUGAGGGAUUUGAAGAUGUGGAGGACAGGGACCCAAAGGCCCAUCAUCCCGCUCCUCCAUCAGGUUUUUGUUUUUCCUAAAGGCCCAAGACU